rnacentral:lncRNA from 1 species
CCGUUAUCCAUCAAGACCCUUUAGCACCUUUCUCUUUCUUUUUCAUUUUGGACAAGACCUUGAACACUCCAUCACCAACCCCUAACCUAGACCCCUCCCAGCCAUUACACACAGAGAACCCCCCCAUCUUCUUCUCUAGCGCCAACAGCCGUUCAACAUAUACACAGCCCCAACCCUGAACGUCUUCUUCUACAGGAACUUACAAAACCAACGAAAAGAAUCCAUCACCUUCUUCUCCAUCAAGAUCAAAACCAUCAGACCCCCGCUUCUUCAUUUUUCGAUUCCGAUUCCAACAGAGAAGCAACUCCGCUGCACUACCCUUCAACCAAACCGGCCAUGAACGCCGGCGGAACCCCCACCCUUUCCCUCUGGUCGUCCACCCAUGACCUUUCUUCCUCUCACUUUCUUCCUUAUCAUGUUCUCACAUAUUUGUAGAUAGGAUAAUGGAAUCACAUCGGAAAUGGUAAGUCUUGCCUUAAAUGGAGAUUAAUAGUAGCGAAACCUUCAGAUCCGACGCCUUUUUUGAAACCUUCAGAUCUGGUCUUCAUCUUCUGUCUUCUUUUGAAAAAUCCAGCGGGUUUUCUCUUUGUCACUGUUGAACCGAACUUGUACCAGCUUAAUCAUUUGAGUUUUCCAGCGAGGUUUUCCGGUCGAGGCCGUUGGCAUAGUUUCUAAUCCGGUCAAGGUCCUGUUCAGUUAAUCAUUUUGCGAUUCAGAGAUUUAAAGUUGAGCUUCAUUUUCUGUCACUCUGCUUGCACUUGAAUCAUAGCUUCCACGUUCAAGAUGGGUCGGUUCUGUCUUGUAGUGCAGCAAUCAAAGGCUCUUUAUUAAUAAAGUGGAAAAGCUUUGCUUGACAGAGGUCAUUUUCUUCUCUGAAUUCACUUUUGGUUUCAUAUGAUGCUUUCACUGUUUUUUUAGCUUUUUUUUUUGUUUUGUUUCGUUUGAAUUCCAUUGAUAGCUCACCAAAUUAUUUUGCUGCCUAUGUUUUGAUCAAAAGCAUUACUAGAAAUUGUAUGAGUUAGACUAAUAUGCACGUGUUCACUUAAUGAUUGGAAAUUACUGAUUCGCAUAUUUCCUCACUUUACGUACUCCAAUUGCCUUUUUAGUUAAAAUAAUUUUUGGAAAAUGCACGAAUGAGGGAAGUCGAGUAAGUUUUGAUGAAAUAAACUUGUGGUCGUAUUUUUCCUUUGCUUUCUUCUGUAAUCAUAUGGUCCUUAUUUGAUUUCAGUUAGAUAAUGAAAGUUGAAAUUUAAAAAAAUAUUGAAAAACAAAUGAUAGUUGCAUAAUGGUAAUUGAUGAUAUUUUGGGCUUUAGAUUUAUAAGCCACAAUAGUUACACGGAUUUGGGUUUAAGUACUAAAAUAAGCUGGCCUUGAUUUCAUACUUAUUCUAUAAAAAAUACUUCAAUAACUUCAUAUUCACAACCUCUUGGCCUACAGUGAUCCCAAAUCUUAGGAAAUAAUUAAUUCAUAAAUACUCGUAGUGUGUUUUUGGCGUGUUAUAAUGAAAUUAUCACGGUUACGGAUACGGUUCCUGUGACGUAGUUGUGAUACAUAAUUUCCAUAUUCGGGGGUACAUUUAUGUAACCCGGACACAACUUCUAAUUAUGUUAAUAAAAUAAACAUAUUGUAAACCGCGGGUGCAUUUCAUGUGACGCGAUUCGCAAUAUGGUCAAAAACGAAAAGUGCACGCCAAUCGUGCCUUAUUUCCAAAAAAGAAUUCAUAAAUAAUAAAAGCGGUUUAAAAGUUAAAAUUGCUCAUAGGUUUAAAUUGUGUAAUAAAUCAGAUAGUUAGGCCAAAUAUUAAUAGUUGAGCGGCCGUGCUAAAACUACGGAACUCGGGAAUGCCUAACACCUUCUCUCGGGUUAACAGAAUUCCUUAUCCGGAUUUCUGUGUUUCGCGAAUUAUAAAACAUAGUCAAACUUCCUCGAUUCAGGAUUUUAAACCGGUGACUUGGGACACCAUAAUUAUCCCAUGUGGCGACUCUGAAUAAAUAAAUAACCCCGUUUCGAUUCUGUCACUUUAGUUGGAAAAACUUUCUUAUACCCCCUUUCGGGUAGAAAAAGGAGGUGUGACAGCUCUGGCGACUCUGCUGGGGAUCGAACCCAAAAUCUCUGGUUCAGUUCAAGAAUUUGAGCUUAGAAUAAUUGUUAUAUUUGGCUUUUAUUUAUUAUCUGAUUUUUAUUACAUGUUUGGGCCUAAUGUGAAAAAUGUCACUUUUUAUCGCUUUGAUAUUAUUUGAAUUGUAUAUAAACUAUUGCGAAACCCUUCUCUUCUAAUCUUCUGGGAAGUGCACGCUGGCGUGACUCCUUUUCUGUUAGUGUCAUACCCUAAUUUAGAAUGAGGUUUGGACAAGUUACAAAGCCGGAUGACCUUUUGGUUCCCGGUACGUAGACCCCAUUCAGCUCGAGUUGUCCGCUCGGGUAAGCCAGAUCUAGUACAAUACACCCAGAAUUAAAACUUAGAAUAACAUAACUUCAUGCCGGAUCCCUAGUAGGAACGCUUGUUUGCAUCACGUGUAUUUGACCUUGGGGACUCAACACAGGGGUUGAGUCCGUCUAGGACAGGUGUACCCAAAAAAUAAAAGGCCAACCUGAUACAUUCUAUGUGCUACAUGUUGCAAUCUUCAAGGAUAAAAGGGGUCGCUUGCAGACCGAUGAUGGUUGAGGGUAAAUGAGAGAGAAAAGAAGGUGAGAACAUGUUUACACAUGAAAAAUCCAAAAAGAGUUUACAUGUUUCAUCAUUUUCCCAAAAAAAGAAGAAGAAGAAUGAGCCGCACGACCUGAAGGUGAGAUACACAAAGCAACCAUUUCCAUAAAAAACCUUCAGCAUCGAUCUUCUUCUCAAAACACACACAACUCACCAAAUCUUCAGCACCUUCACAACCUAACACCCCUAAACACCUCUUAACCAGCCGAGAACAACCCCAUCUCCAGCCGUCCAACUUCCUCUCCAAUGCGCCACUGCUUCUGUCCAAACGACCCAUUUCCAAAAAACCAGCUCUGCAUAUGGUCAUUUCCAUGUUACAAUCUCUCGCUACCACCACAUAACCACCGUAGCUUCACCCUUCCACCACGACUCCUCCAUUUCUUUUAGCUUCGCCAAGCUCCAUCGGAGAAGUCCAAACCCGCAAAUCUGUUAGAUGUCGUAAAAAGAAAACAAAUUUGAAAAAUACUAUGAAGCACAACCACAAAUGGUCAUGUUCUUUUGGAUUUCAAAAGCAGUAGAACAUUAGAUUCAACGUUGAGAUUAUGGAGUAUUGAUUUUGUCGAGUACAACAAGGUCGGGUGAGUGGCCGUAUAAAAAAGCGAGGUUGUCGUCGGAAUUUCCGAUUUGAGGUUUCCGGUCAAAAGUUCCUGAUGUUACUUCUUUGACCGGAUUCAAUUGUCGGAAUUCUAUUUUUGCCGUCAACAUCUUUUGUGGGUAAUUCUCCAAGGAUACUUUUAUUGGAAAAGCUAAUUGAAAGGUCAACUUCCCUUCUCUUAAACUCUCGAUCUUUAUUUUAUUAAUAAUUUUGUGAUAGGCCGUGAUUGAGUUUGAAUUAAGUGUGGCAGUGUUAAUUACCACUACUACUAUAUGUGUGGUGUAUUUUCUAUGUUCUUGCUUAGAGUUUUUAGAUUUUACAAGAAAUCAUGAGCUGCUCUCUCUUUCAAUUUGGUUACUUUUUGUUCCAGAGGAUUUGUUUUCAUUUGGAGCUUACUUAGUUUGGAAAAUUAGAAAUGGAGAACUGAAUGAGGCAUAAAUAGAAUUACAAAUUGGGCAGUGGAGUUGGGUAUUAAGAUAAAAGAUGAUUUGAGCUUAAAAUUUUAUUAUUUCACUUUCAUUAAUCGUCCGCUAGGAGCAUGCUUAGACUGACCACACCCGGGUAGGCGAACCUUUAGGCGCGUUUUGAAUUUAUUAUCGUGAUUAUGUACACGUUCACGUGAAAUGAUUACGGUUUCUAAAAUGAAUAUCCGUAGCUUUCUUUAGGCGCGAUUAAUAAAAUUAUCAUGGCUGUGGGUACGGUUCCGUAACGUAGUUGUGAUGUAUAAUUUCUAAAUUCGGGGGUACAUUUAUGUGACCCGGCCACAACAACUAAUAAUGUCAAUAAGUUGAACACGUUGUAAAUCGUAGGUACGGUUCCCAUGAUACGGUUCACAAUGUGUACCUAACAAACAAGUGUACGACAAUCGUAACUUGUUCCAGAAUAAUUCCAUAAUUAAUUAAAAGCGGUCAAAGGCUUAAAAAUACACAGUAGGUAUAAAACAUGUAAUUUAAUCAGAUAAGUAAGCCAUUGAUAAUAGUUGAGUGACUGUGCUAAAACUACGGAACCUGGGAAUUCCUAACACCUUCUUUCGGGUUAACAGAAUUCUUUAUCUGGAUUUCUGUGUUCGUAGACCAUAAAUAAGAGUCAAACUUCCUCGAUUCGGGAUUUUAAACCGGUGAUUUGGGAUACCAUAAAUUAUCCCAAGUGACGACUCUGAAUCUGGUAAAUAAAUAAUCUCAUUUCGAUUAUUGUCACUUUAAUUGGAAAAACUCCCCAGCAGAGUCGCCAGAGCUGUCACACCUCCUUUGGAUUUUUUCAUUUUCUUUUUUUGUUUUGUCUUUUUCUUAAAAAAAAUCAAAAAAGAAAGAAAAAGAAAAUCCAAAAAGAGUUUACAUGUUUCAUCAUUUAAAAAAAAAAGACAAAAAAUAUAUUUUUUCUAAAUUAUUUGUUAGUUUUUAAUUCUCGCCUAUAUCCAAUCUUCCCGAACUACGCGUACCUGAUUUGCGCCUUUCGGGGCGUGAUACUUAGGCAGCUCACACAGGGUCCGAUUUUCUUAGAGAGUCUUAGGUUCUUGGCUUCGAGGGUCGUAGCCAUAUCUUGCAUGUAUAGCCACUUUUGGCCACAUCGGUCAUUUUGCAAAAUAUGGCUAUUUUUGUAAAGUGGUUUUGUUUAAUUGUCUGGAGUCUUGAAUCCAUAAUUAGGUGUCUUUUUACUUUAAGGUCUGUCCUUGUCGAAUUUGUAUGUACCGCUUUUGGCCACAUAGGCCAUUUUGCAAAAUAGGGCUAUUUUCGCAAAAAGUGGUUCAACCCAUGUAUCAGAGUCUUAAGUCCACAACAAGGUGUCCUCUAUGUUUAAGGCCCAUUCUGUUGAAUUUGCAUGCUUAGCCAUUCUUUUGGCCACAUUGGCCAUUUCUACAAAAUCGGACAUUUUUGCAAAGUAAUUUUUCCAUGUCUUAGAGGUCACCUUUGUUGAGUUUGCACUUCUAGCCGCCUUUUGACCACAUAGGCUAUUUUGCACAAUCAUAUCUUGCAUGCAUCCAAUAGGAAGUGUUAUUGUCCCACAUAGUGUUCUAAAUCCUUAACUCUAUUUGGUUUUAGUUUUCUUAUACAUGUGUGGAUCUACUUACCGGAGUUUGAGCAUGACAGAUACCCCAGGACCAUCUGGUCAGGACCGUUACAUCCAGGAGUUGGUUAAGGAGAUUUUUUUAUGUUUUGAGUCUGUUUCUUUUUAUGUUGUCUUAUACUUUAUGGUCAUGUCCAGUAGUAAUGAUUCGUUUAGUUGGUGUUAGAGUUUGUCGUGGUAUAAUUGGGUUGAGUCUUUCGUUAUCAUAUUUCCUGUUUUGCAUUUGAAAAAAAUGUUGUAAUGAAUAAUCCAAAAGGAUUUUUAUUUUUUACUUUAAUUUAUCCAUUACUUUUCUAGAACUACGCUUGGUCUGAUUCAUGUGGAACAUGAUACGUAGGCAACCUACAUAGGGUUCGAUCGAAUCACUUUUAAAAAUUAAAAUUAAAAGAAAAAAAGAAAAAAGAGAGAUGAAAAUUUGGGAUCUAAGAAAUGAGAGGAAAGAAAAGAGUGAUAAUUAAGGAAAAGAGGAAGGAAAAUGGGCAAGCCAAGAAGUGCUAGAAAAGAAAAAAAGAGAAGGUUGAAAUGAACAAAUUGGGAUGAUGCCAUAUGAUCUUUAUACCCUUGAAGUCAUUUUAGAAUCAAUAACGGUGACUAGGUGCAUUACACAUAAUGUGAGAUUAUCUUAUGUUAAAUGCCCUAAUGCUAACGUGAUGACUUCAUUUUGUUCCUCUUUGUUAUCUUCAUAAAGCAGAAUGGUGGUUGAUUUGUGGUUCUUAAAGUAGUAACUCUUCUCUACAACAUAAAGUUGAAAGCCAAUGGCAGACGACAACAGAAUUGAGUUGGUUGACACUGGUGUCCAAAAGCAAUUGUUUGAACAUGACAAUAGGUUGGUUGAAGAGGUAAGGAUGCUAAGAUAACACAUGGCGGACAUAUAUCGGGUUUGGAUGACUGGAAAGGCAGCACUCCCGCCACCACCUAGCUUCCUAGAUGCUACCCUUACCCAAACUCUGGUGAUAGUGCCAGAUGAUCCCCCAUACUCUCCGGAUUUUCCCACUUAUCACAACUUUCCUAACCACCCUACUAGCUCCAUUACUCGCUCUCUAACUACCUCUCCCAAAAAUUGUCCUCCUGUCAUAUCUACUAUCCCCACGAUCAUAACUUCUCAACAAUCUUUCCUUCAUAGAUCCAAUAAUGAACACCCACUCAAAACUCAUGACACCCAAUAUUACCCCUCAGAGGUUGCCCACAAGUCCCUGACUCAUACAAUCAUAGCUUUCGGAAUGAGCCUCAUGUGGAAAAUGAAAAGUUCACAGGAAAAGAAGGGCGAAAUGAGAUAUUCAGGAAGCUAAAAGGUAUAGAACAAUCCUUAAAGAACAUGCAAGGGAUGAGAAAUCAGAUUAACAUAUCUUACAAUGACUUGUGUAUGUUCCCUGAUGUUCAUCUGCCCGCGAGGUUUAAAAUGCCAAAGUUUAACUUGUAUGAUGGGCGUGGAGAUCCAAUAGCCCAUCUGAGGGGUUAUUAUAGUGAAAUAAGAAGUGUUGGCGGGAAAGAUGAUUUGUUGAUGGCGUAUUUCAGUGAGAGUUUGAGUAGGGCAGCCUUUGAAUGGUAUACUCGUCAAGAUGUCAAGAAGUGGCAUGCAUGGGAUGUCAUGGCUCAAGAUUUUGUUUGACACUUUCAGUACAAUCUAGACAUUAUCCCAGACCGCUCCUCCCUAUCUAAGAUGGAAAAGAAAUACGAGGAAAGUAUUAGGGAGUUGAGCUCAGAUGGAGGGAACAAGCUGCUCGGUCAGCCCCCCAGUUGGUGAAGAAGAAAUGGUUGAGAUUUUCGUACAAGCCCAGAGACCCACCUACUUCAGUCAUUUGAUCCCGUCCUUAGGUAAACCUUUCAACGAUGUGGUAAAAAUAGGGGAGAUGGUAGAGGAAGGAAUCAAGUCAGGCAAAAUCAUGAGUUAUUCUGUAUUGAAAGAUACUACAACAGAACAUCUCAAUAAAUUUGGGUGGAAGAAAGAGAACUAGAAAAAAUGUUGUUGAGAACAUCUCAGUAAUGUAUGUACGGACCAUACAGAAACAUGUAAUAUUCUCCAAUGAAUAAACAAAGCAGUAUAUGACAUUCUUACACAACAUCAAAUUUACACAAUCACGCCAACACAAAGGAAAUCUACAUUCGAUCUCACUCGAAUUAAUUUCUAAAUCUACAUUCAACCUCGCUCGAAUCAAUCUACAUUCAAUCUCGCUUGAAUUAACUUACAUUCGACCUCGUUCGAAUCAAUAUACAUUCGACCUCGCUCGAAGUAACUUAUAUUCGACCUCAUUCGAAUCAAUCUACAUUCAACCUCGCUCGAAUUAACUUACAUUCGACCUCGUUCGAAUCGAUCUACAUUCGACCUCGCUCGAAUUAACUUACAUUUUACCUCGUUCAAAUCGAUCUACAUUCGACCUCACUCGAAUUACCUUACAUUCGACCUUGUUCGAAUCGAUCUACAUUCGACCUCGUUCGAAUCAACUUACAUUCGGUCGACCGAAGCUCAGGGACUUUCUCACAAAAGAAGACACUCACAGGAUAGAAAAAAGAAAGAAGAGCCGGAAAUACACAGCAAAAGAUAACUCUUCCAUUUCAAUUAUUCCAUUCCAAUACAUUAUACAAUGGGCUUGAAAGACGCCCCACAAAAAGAGAACAACAAAACAUAAAAAACAAAAACCGAGUACAAAUACUAAACACCGCAUCAUUCUCCCUAUCACCAACAUCACUAGCAUACUCAUCGUCAUACCAAGGGUCGGAGGCAAGCCCAUAUAAGGCGUUGGCAUACCGGGAUCAUAACCAUAGGCAUCACGAGCUGCACGUGCCUUGACACGAACAUCCUCAAAUUCCGCCUCAAAAAUCUUCCCAGCCAUCUUUAGAGACUGUAUAUGUCAAGUUGGGCCUCAGCAUGAACCCACAUUUCAUACAACUCCCGUGGCACACCGGGAUUGGCAGAAGCAUGAGAUGUAGACGGCUAGGCCUGCUGUUGUGCCUUCUCGGCUCUUAGGGCAACAACCUGCUCAUUCAGCUCAGAUAGCUCCGCCUCCAAACCCCCAAUAUGCUCCUCAAACCUUGCCUCCUUGAGUGCCAAAGUUUCCACAUCAAUAGCCCGCUUAAACCUGCAAACACGAAGGGUGCCCCCUAGGGUUGCCGCCUCCGCCACAACAGCCAUUCUAACUUUCUCAGCUCGACCCAACUAUUCGACCCUGGUGCUCAACUCAUCCCUCAAGUUGACAGCCCUUGUUUCGCUCUGCUCGAGCUCCACCCUUAAAGACGCCACCUGCGCCUGUGUAGACAUGUAAUUUUUGACCCUUCCCAAGAUUUUACACAUUUUAGAGUAAAUAUUUAGUUUAGGUCUAAUAUAUCUAUUUCAACUAGUUUUGACUCUUUUAUUUUAUUUUAUCACAAAAAAUAAAAAUUAUAAAAAAUAGUUUCGUUAAUGUUUUGUAGUCAUACUAUUUUACUAGGAUUUUUAUUUUUUAUAUAAUCUUGAAAAAAUACCAAAAUAGUCUCACAACAUAAUACUGUCUAUUUUAAUUAAUUAAGAUUAGUCUUAUAUUUUUAUGUUAUAAAUUGUGUAUAAUUUUUAGAAAGAAGAGUUAGUUUUGGGUUGGUUUAUCCCAUUUUUAUGAAUUUUUGUAGUCCAUUUUUAGUUUUUGGCCCAAUUUUAAGGCCCAAUAAGAUCAAACCCAUACUCCCUAAACCUAAAAAAACCCUAUACAUAUACAUUCUAGACCCUAGACCUAGACAGCCAUCAGAUCCGCCGUUUCAUAGGAGACCCCACCCCCCUGUAUUUCAUCUUAUUUGAACCAUACACCCCCGAAACCAACGACCCUUUUCUCCUUCAGCACACCCAGCGACCAGAACUCCCCAUCGCUGUUCUUCUUCUUCUCACCAUCAUGCCCACUGAAAAUUGACCCUUUUCUUUCUCCAAAACCAGCGACCACCCCGUCUCCAGCCAUUCCCAACAGCCGAAACUCACCCCUAAUUUUCCAAAAUUUGCAGCAGUCGACACCCGCACUCCAAGAAACGAAUCAUAUUUAGAUGUUUUUCAUUUCUUGUCCAGCGAGCUCGCUGGAAAAUGAGUUGCACACCAGCGCCGCUCACACACACGACAACUACCGGAAAAUCUCCCCAAAAAUAGUCCAAAAGCAACCCUAAAACAGCUCGUCUUUCCAGCGAAAAUUAGCUACAAGACCAGCUGAAAAACAACACAAACCAACAUCAAAAAUCAGUACUGAAACCCAGCUGAAAACGUUCCAAAAUCGCCUCAAAGUUCUGUCUAUCUCCGAGUUCGAGGUUGCGGAUCCGAGUUCCGGUUGCGGUGUGGUCAUAAUUCAAUCGGAGCGGAUUAUUUGGUGUACACUCUGCUGUAAUUUUAAUUAAAUUUGUUUGAAGUUCUCUUUAAAAAAAAGAUCUGUUCCUAUUUCUAUGUUUUUUUCUGCUUUAGUCAUUUUCUGUUUUCAAUUCAAUGUUCCAUUGCUCUUAACGUGUUGGGUCUGUUUGGGUAGUCCCAUGUGAUGAUAAAGGUGAAAUCAAAGUAGCUUUUAGAAUUAAGCUUGUUGAAUCCUUUCUGACUGAGCUACUGUUUUAGUAGAUUCAAAAUUAGCUAGUUUGGUGAUGAUUUGUUUAUGUUGGUUUAGUGAUUUGAACAAUGGAAUUGUGAAGUCCAAGAUCAAACUUCUGCUCAUUUCAUUUUCUUCUCGACAUAUGAAUUUGGGUUAUCAAAUAAAGUGAUUGAAUGAAAAACCGUAGACUUUUAUGUAAUGUUUUUAGAGAAGAUGAAUUGUUUCAUUACUGAAGUGAUUAAAUAAUUGUAGCAAUAGUUGUGCUUAAUGUCACGACCCAAACUGGAGGGCCAUGACUAGCACCCGACCAUACUUGCCGAGCUCCAACACACAUUUUAUCUAACCUUUUUUUUAUUAUCUUUUAGGGUUGACGAGAUCAAUAUAAAUGGUAGACAUGGAUCAUAGACAACCAACAAUAAAAUAUGAUGGCAUGAACAUACAUAACAUGAGAUGACCAGACAAUCAAGAAACUACAUAUAAGGUACGAGCUACCACGAUACCAUGAAAGACUAUACAACAAAAGCUAGCCCCAAGGCAUACCAAACUAUACAUGAGUCGACACCUGUCUAUGAGCCUCUAAAUGAACAUAAGUGUUGCAACAUAGCCGGAACAAGGGCCCAACAUACCCAUAAUGUCUAUACAAAAAUGCAUAUCAAGACCACGGCAAGUCCGGAGAAGGGAUCUCGCCAAUCACUGCUGAACUGGACAACCUAAUGUGGUAGGGGAGCUGCACCUGCCUGUCUAUCAUGGCCUACAAUACGACAUGCAUCGUCCACAAACAAAAGGACGUCAGUACGAAUAAAGUAUGUAAGGCAAGGAACCAUAAAUACGAACAUCAAUGUAAGUAGGGAU